UUGAACGCUGGCGGAAUGCUUUACACAUGCAAGUCGAGCGGCAGCGCGGCCUUCGGGCUGGCGGCGAGCGGCGAACGGGUGAGUAAUGCAUCGGAACAUGCCCAGUCGUGGGGGAUAACACUUCGAAAGAAGUGCUAAUACCGCAUACGUCCUGAGGGGGAAAGCGGGGGAUCGCAAGACCUCGCGCGAUUGGAGUGGCCGAUGUCAGAUUAGCUAGUUGGUGGGGUAAAGGCCUACCAAGGCGACGAUCUGUAGCUGGUCUGAGAGGAUGAUCAGCCACAUGGGAACUGAGACAGGGCCCAGACCCCUGCGGGAGGCAGCAGUGGGGAAUUUUGGAAAAUGGGGGCAACCCUGAUCCAGCAAUUCCGGGUGAGGGAAGAAGGCCUUCGGGUUGUAAAGCUCUUUGGGGGGGAAAGAAACGGAGGCCUUUAAUAUCGCCCUAUAAUGAGGGUACCGAAAGAAAAAGCACCGGCUAACUCCGGG
rnacentral:rRNA from 1 species